rnacentral:rRNA from 1 species
AGAGUUUGAUCAUGGCUCAGGAUGAACGCUAGCGGCAGGCCUAACACAUGCAAGUCGAGGGGUAACAGGGAGCUUGCUCCGCUGACGACCGGCGCACGGGUGCGCACCGCGUAUGGAACCUACCUUUUACAGAGGAAUAGCCUUUAGAAAUGAAGCUUAAUGCCUCAUGGUAUUGAGACUCGGCAUCGAAUUUUGAUUAAAGCUUUCGAGCGGUAAAAGAUGGCCAUGCGUCCCAUUAGCUAGAUGGUAAGGUAACGGCUUACCAUGGCUACGAUGGGUAGGGGCCCUGAGAGGGGGAUCCCCCACACUGGUACUGAGACACGGACCAGACUCCUACGGGAGGCAGCAGUGAGGAAUAUUGGACAAUGGAGGUAACUCUGAUCCAGCCAUGCCGCGUGCAGGAAGACGGCCCUAUGGGUUGUAAACUGCUUUUAUACGGGAAGAAAAACAGCUACGUGUAGUUGACUGACGGUACCGUAAGAAUAAGGACCGGCUAACUCCGUGCCAGCAGCCGCGGUAAUACGGAGGGUCCGAGCGUUAUCCGGAAUUAUUGGGUUUAAAGGGUCCGUAGGCGGGCCAUUAAGUCAGGGGUGAAAGUCUGCGGCUCAACCGUAGAAUUGCCUUUGAUACUGGUGGUCUUGAGUUAUGGUGAAGUGGCUGGAAUAUGUAGUGUAGCGGUGAAAUGCAUAGAUAUUACAUAGAACACCGAUUGCGAAGGCGGGUCACUAACCAUAUACUGACGCUGAUGGACGAAAGCGUGGGGAGCGAACAGGAUUAGAUACCCUGGUAGUCCACGCCGUAAACGAUGGAUACUAGCUGUCCGGAUCCUUGAGAUCUGGGCGGCCAAGCGAAAGUGAUAAGUAUCCCACCUGGGGGCAUGUGGUUUAAUUCGAUGAUACGCGAGGAACCUUACCAGGGCUUAAAUGCAUAUUGACAGGGUCAGAGAUGACUUUUCCUUCGGGCAAUUUGCAAGGUGCUGCAUGGUUGUCGUCAGCUCGUGCCGUGAGGUGUCAGGUUAAGUCCUAUAACGAGCGCAACCCCUACCGUUAGUUGCCAGCGAGUCAAGUCGGGGACUCUAACGGGACUGCCGGUGCAAACCGUGAGGAAGGUGGGGAUGACGUCAAAUCAUCACGGCCCUUACGUCCUGGGCCACACACGUGCUACAAUGGCCGGUACAGAGAGCAGCCAUCUGGUGACAGAGAGCGAAUCUACAAAACCGGUCACAGUUCGGAUCGGGGUCUGCAACUCGACCCCGUGAAGCUGGAAUCGCUAGUAAUCGGAUAUCAGCCAUGAUCCGGUGAAUACGUUCCCGGGCCUUGUACACACCGCCCGUCAAGCCAUGGAAGCCGGGAGUGCCUGAAGUCCGUCACCGCAAGGAGCGGCCUAGGGCAAGAUCGGUAACUAGGGCUAAGUCGUAACAAGGUAACC